UGGGGAAUAUUGGACAAUGGGCGAAAGCCUGAUCCAGCCAUGCCGCGUGUGUGAAGAAGGUCUUCGGAUUGUAAAGCACUUUAAGUUGGGAGGAAGGGCAUUAACCUAAUACGUUAGUGUUUUGACGUUACCGACAGAAUAAGCACCGGCUAACUCUGUGCCAGCAGCCGCGGUAAUACAGAGGGUGCAAGCGUUAAUCGGAAUUACUGGGCGUAAAGCGCGCGUAGGUGGUUUGUUAAGUUGGAUGUGAAAUCCCCGGGCUCAACCUGGGAACUGCAUUCAAAACUGACUGACUAGAGUAUGGUAGAGGGUGGUGGAAUUUCCUGUGUAGCGGUGAAAUGCGUAGAUAUAGGAAGGAACACCAGUGGCGAAGGCGACCACCUGGACUAAUACUGAUACUGAGGUGCGAAAGCGUGGGGAGCAAACA
rnacentral:rRNA from 1 species